rnacentral:rRNA from 1 species
UCUUGCAAACUAAAGAUGGCGACCGGCGCACGGGUGAGUAACACGUAUCCAACCUGCCGAUAACUCGGGGAUAGCCUUUCGAAAGAAAGAUUAAUAUCCGAUAGUAUAUUAAAACCGCAUGGUUUUACUAUUAAAGAGUUUCGGUUAUCGAUGGGGAUGCGUUCCAUUAGUUUGUUGGCGGGGUAACGGCCCACCAAGACUACGAUGGAUAGGGGUUCUGAGAGGAAGGUCCCCCACAUUGGAACUGAGACACGGUCCAA